UACAAAUGUUUCUGAUUACCUCUCCUCGAUUAUAUUCAUAAACUAUGCCAUUUCUAUGCACAGUUGUUAGAAUUAUAUUGUAUUUUACUGCAUAAUAACGUUUGGUUAUUAUUGUACUAAGUAUAAUUAUUGUUUUGAUAUUAGGACUAGUUGGUCCGUGCCCUGGGUCAUGUGACCACUGACCGUUGCUGAAAGGAGUGUUCUCCUGGGGGUUUUUCGUUACAUGGAUUCAUCCAUCCACAAUGAACAAUAAAGUCUCUCUAUAGAAGA